GCCACGGUGGAGGACGGGGCCUCCGUCCCGGUUCCCGGCCGGGGAGCGCCGGUUCCACCGUCGUCCUAGCAGGCGUCCGGUCCCCUUUCCGUGACA
rnacentral:tRNA from 1 species